UACGGGGGGGGCAAGCGUUGUUCGGAAUUACUGGGCGUAAAGGGCGCGUAGGCGGUUCGCUAAGUUGAAUGUGAAAACUCUGGGCUUAACCCAGAGCCUGCAUCCAAAACUGGCGAACUGGAGUACUGGAGGGGAAAGCGGAAUUCCUGGUGUAGCGGUGAAAUGCGUAGAUAUCCGGAGGAACACCGGUGGCGAAGGCGGCUUCCUGGACCGAUACUGACGCUGAGGCGCGAAAGCUAGGGGAGCAAACGGG
rnacentral:rRNA from 1 species